rnacentral:rRNA from 1 species
UACGGGGGGGGCAAGCGUUGUUCGGAAUUACUGGGCGUAAAGGGCUCGUAGGUGGCCAAUUAAGUCAGACGUGAAAUCCCCAGGCUCAACCUGGGAACUGCGUCUGAUACUGGUUGGCUUGAAUUCGGGAGAGGGAUGCAGAAUUCCAGGUGUAGCGGUGAAAUGCGUAGAUAUCUGGAGGAACACCGGUGGCGAAGGCGGCAUCCUGGACCAACACUGACGCUGAGGAGCGAAAGCCAGGGGAGCAAACGGG